rnacentral:lncRNA from 1 species
UGCCAGUAAGGAAGUUUCAGACAUGAAAGUGUUAACAGCUGCUUUGAAAUUACUCCUAUUUAAGAAGAAAAAUUAUAUUACUUUCUUAAUCUUUCUAAUUCUAUUCUCAUAAGAUGAUCUUGGAUUUGUUCCUUUAGCACAGACUCUUUAGUGCAGUCCUGAUUUCUGUAUUAAUGAAUUGAGAAGAUGACAUCAGGCUCUUAGAAGUUCCUUAUGAAGUGUGCAACACACCGGUUGGGAAAAUUGCUGUCCCUGAACAGACUUUUUCUGGAAAAGAAACAAGAGACUACCUGGAUGGACUAAACAACAGAAAGAAUCUGGAAGAAGCCUGGUGUGUAAUGAGAGAGACAACACCUCCAGCCAUUAUUCCUUUGAGUGCUGAGUGGGAGUGCAGUU